GGCGGUGUAGCUCAGAGGCAGAGCAGGGGACUCAUAAGCCCUUGGCCGCAGGUUCGAGUCCUGCCACCGCCACCA
rnacentral:tRNA from 1 species